UGAGCCAAGUUUAGGGUUUCUUAAAAACCCAAAGAUGUUUGAACUGAAGAGUUUGAUCAUGGCUCAGAUUGAACGCUGGCGGCAGGCCUAACACAUGCAAGUCGAGCGGUAGAGAGAAGCUUGCUUCUCUUGAGAGCGGCGGACGGGUGAGUA
rnacentral:rRNA from 1 species